GUAAUUGCUAUUCAACGGGAACUGGGUCUGCCCGUUUGGUAUGUGGGUGUGGGUGAAGGGCUGGACGAUCUGGAACCGUUCGACGCGGACGCUUUUGUG
rnacentral:tRNA from 1 species